GGGAAUAAUACAAGAAUUGACAUUU
rnacentral:tmRNA from 1 species